rnacentral:rRNA from 1 species
AUACGUAGGGUGCAAGCGUUAAUCGGAAUUACUGGGCGUAAAGCGUGCGCAGGCGGUUUUGUAAGACAGUGGUGAAAUCCCCGGGCUCAACCUGGGAACUGCCAUUGUGACUGCAAGGCUGGAGUGGGGCAGAGGGGGAUGGAAUUCCGCGUGAAGCCGGGAAAUGCGUAGAUAUGCGGAGGAACACCGAUGGCGAAGGCAAUCCCCUGGGCCUGCACUGACGCUCAUGCACGAAAGCGUGGGGAGCAAACAGGAUUAGAUACCCUGGUAGUCCACGCCCUAAACGAUGUCAACUGGUUGUUGGGGAUUUAUUUUCUCAGUAACGAAGCUAACGCGUGAAGUUGACCGCCUGGGGAGUACGGCCGCAAGGUUAAAACUCAAAUGAAUUGACGGGG